rnacentral:rRNA from 1 species
UACGGAGGAGGCAAGCGUUAUCCGGAAUUAUUGGGCGUAAAGCGUCCGCAGGUGGCGAUUCAAGUCUGCGGUUAAAGACUGGGGCUUAACCCUGGAAAGGCCGUGGAAACUGAAACGCUAGAGUGCAGUAGGGGUAGAGGGAAUUCCCGGUGUAGCGGUGGAAAUGUGCAGAUAUCAGGAGGAACACCGGUGGCGAAGGCGGGGUCUCUGGGGCCGUAACUGACGCUGAGGAGCGAAAGCAUGGGGAGCGAACAGG